rnacentral:misc_RNA from 1 species
CAUCAAAGAUCCAUAUUAGAAUCAUACCAAAAUUUUUUAAACCGGAACAAAAACCGAACUCUCAUACCUGUAAAAACCUGCCUUUUUACGUAAAAUUCAUAAAAUUUUACAGUUUAUUACUAAACCAAUCUACCCAUAAAAUUCAUUUUGGCAAUAUACUUUUGCACUGUGUAUAAUAUUAAUACAUCUCUAAAUAACGUUGAAUAUUGUACAACAUGCUGAUGCUGGACAGGAAGGAUUAGUAUACCGACCAAUGCUCUUCCACACCCCAUUCUCGUCCCAGUCGCACCAAAGCAAGCUCUGUACAUUACAUCUCAAUGUCUUCUAGAUCUGGUAGCGGAAAUCGAAGGAUGGCGGCAAUGCCAGUCAAUUGUGCCAAUUGCUCUCCUGAGACAUGCAUUGAUGAAAAUAUAUGAACAGUGCCCCCUGAAUCCUUCACUGAGCUGACUAGAUUGACGUACUUCUUCCUCGCAGGUAUAUCAGCAUUUCUGAAUAGAUCAUCUGUGAUAAGAAGAGUUUGGACAGCCAUGCGUUCAUGGGCAACCUCUACAUGCUUUGGUCCAUAGCAUGCACGAGCUGGAUCCUAACAGAAAACCUCACACUCAAGCAUAUUCUAAGAAUUUAUUUAGGAAUUAACAUAUGGAUGUAAAUAUACUAAAAGCACAUUCUGAGCAAUUACUACUACUUGUAUGUUGAGAUUAAUCAGAUCUCAGUAUGUUUUAGUUCUCAGUGUCAUAUUGAGAUCAUUACAUUAUUUUUUAGUAUAUAUUCUUAUCAUUAAGUUUUUCAUGGCCAUAAAAAAGAAAAAUUCACAAUAAAACAGAAAACCACUCAUCUCAAGAAUAGAACCUGACAUUUGAAAGCAUGUUAAAGAAAUCCUGAAGUGCUCGAACCUCUUGAGCUGCCUUAGUGUCUUUAAUCAUGUUCAUAACAUUUGAGGCAUCAAGAACCUCUCUCAAGCUAUGCCUAUAUCCUGAGCUUGUAUGCACAAGAACUAUGCGCGACUUGUUCUCAAUAAUGGGUCUCAGCUGUCUCCUCUCUGCCUCCAACAAUAAGUGACGAUGAAACUGAUCCUUAGUGAAACCAGGGCUUGCAAUCACAGCACACCGAAUAACAUUGAAAUCAAUAUGUUUUAGGAAAGCCUGUAAAACAUGCUCAAAGAACUUAUUCAAUGCCGACUCAUAACCAGCAAUGGCAGGCCCAUGCUUUCGAGGAAUUGAAGUCUCUAUCCUUGACCGAGUAGUUGUCAUGCUUUUACCAACAAGGAAGAUGUGUGCUAGUCCUUCUUGCAUUAAAACCACAGCAAGAUCAGCACUUGCACCAGGAUCUGAAAUUAUAGGGAGAGCAACAUCAGUUACAAAGUAAUUAAAUUAAAUUAGUCUAUAAAUAUUUAUGUUCAUCAAUUACUACAUGAGCAAUUCAAAAUGCUAAAGCUAGAAAAGGCUAUUUAAAAAACUGAUGAAAGACCCCCAAAGCACCACCUUGAGUAGGUGGCACACUCAAAGGAGGGACUUCAAGGUAGGCAAUGCUCAAGAGUACAAAAAAUAAGUUAUGUGGCAACACCCAGACUAAAGAAACCAAGUUUCAGGUCAUCAAGAACCAACAGAUUAAGAAUUUUAGUUGUAGCAUGUGUUUUCAUUCAGUGUGCAUGUUUUGUGACACCAAGUAGAAGCAAUUACUUAACAUAUGGAGGAAAAAACUUUUUUUUUCCCAAUUCUUCUCUAGGCAUUAUUCAUUGUUGGUAGCUUUUCUAAGCUCUUUAGUAAACCAGAACAUUUCAAAGGACGACCACAUCUAAUUUUCAUUGAUUAGGAUCCUCAUCUUGCUAAGUUGUGUUUCAACAUUAUAAAUGGUGGUAAGUACUCAACUACUUAGUGUGGGUGAGCACCAACAGAGCUCAUCUUUUCUAUAAAAAUAUUCAACUGCAUGAAACUGCAAAUUUUGACAUGACAAAAGUCAAGGUUUCCCAUUAAUGCUACCUAUUGAGUGAUUCUCACUAUUCCAACUUAAACAAAGCAUACAAUUGCUAUAAACUGCCAGCUCCAACAGAAAAUUAUUAAUAACCAGCAUCAACCUUAGCUACAAGAAUCUUGAACAUAACUGCAGUAAUCCACAGAGUUAACGGCAUAAAAUUCUAAAUAAUCACCAAUGUGAAACUUCUACAGAAAUUAUUUGCACAUGGAUAUAACCUCAAAGAAGAAUUAUUGAGAAAGGCAUGAAAUUCAAAGAUCGAAACAACUUACCAGAGGUUUGAUCAAGUGCAUCUACAGCCAAUGAGUCCCAAAUUUCCUAAUAUACAUAAGCCAAAAGCAAGCAAGCAGAUGAUAAAAGUAUAAACUAAUCACACAGUGAAAACAGCAAGGCCAAAUAACCAGAAAGGCAACAAUCUUCCAGAGCUUUUCAUUUUAUCAAUCUAUUGUUUAACCUCAAGAUUGAUUCCAAUUUUAAUAGUUCAAUUCAAAUUAAUUUAUAAACAUAUUAAGAUCAUGUAGAAUUCAUUUUCGACUUAAAAAUUAGUUGUAACUCCAUAAAUCACUAAAAUAUUCAAGUUCUGCAUAAAGUUUAAAAGAUAAUAUAUUUUUAAAAAUAAAACAAUUGGCUAAAAUUGAUAAUUUGAGAAAAGGUUCUGGCUUUUUUUGUCCAUUUAGCCUUAAAAGAGUUAUUUACAAAUUUAAGCAUAAAAAGAUAAAAGAAAACAGAAGCAUA